rnacentral:tRNA from 1 species
UCUCUCAUGAUCCAGUGGUUAAGACUCUAUGCUCCCAAUGUAGGAAGCCCGGGUUAGAUCCCUGGUUGGAGAA